AUUGAACGCUGGCGGCAGGCCUAACACAUGCAAGUCGAGCGGAUGAAGGGAGCUUGCUCCUGGAUUCAGCGGCGGACGGGUGAGUAAUGCCUAGGAAUCUGCCUGGUAGUGGGGGAUAACGUCCGGAAACGGGCGCUAAUACCGCAUACGUCCUGAGGGAGAAAGUGGGGGAUCUUCGGACCUCACGCUAUCAGAUGAGCCUAGGUCGGGUUAGCUAGUUGGUGGGGUAAAGGCCUACCACGGCGACGAUCCGUAACUGGUCUGAGAGGAUGAUCAGUCACACUGGAACUGAGACACGGUCCAGACUCCUACGGGAGGCAGCAGUGGGGAAUAUUGGACAAUGGGCGAAAGCCUGAUCCAGCCAUGCCGCGUGUGUGAAGAAGGUCUUCGGAUUGUAAAGCACUUUAAGUUGGGAGGAAGGGCAGUAAGUUAAUACCUUGCUGUUUUGACGUUACCAACAGAAUAAGCACCGGCUAAUUUCGUG
rnacentral:rRNA from 1 species